CAACCCUCGUCCAUGUCCCACGUUUGCCGGCCGAUAUCUUUAUAUCUCGCAUCUCGCGGAUACACAGAUACAUUUACACUCAUAAAUAUGUCGCGUGGAUUAAUGUGCCAGUUGGCAAUUUCUGACAGCGCUCUCAGUUCCAAGCGAGCAACUUCCUCCGUUCUCGGUUACCGCCUUUCCCCCUCUCCGUACGUCUUAUAUACCAUAUAAUAAUAUGUACAUCGUGUAUACAUACAUAUAUGUAGUGUACUUGAUGGACAUGUGGCAAGAUCAAAGCGCCCGUCGCCUCCUCCAAUUAGACAAAUCCCAAACGCAGCCACUAAUUCGAGUGGAGGCAAAACACAAACCGAACACAAUUGCCGACGACCAGCAGAAUUUUCGCAGAAGGAAGCGGAAAAAAGGGGUCAAGCAUCCCAUGGUGACGGAAGUAUCUAAAGACGUAUCUGCAAGAUUUAAUCGCUAAUUUGAAUCGCCUACGCAAUUGUUGCAACUUCAACUUGCUUCUUUCUUUGCACAGUGUGCAAUCCAUCGCUUUGUGAACUGGAGCCUCGACAUCGCCUACUCGCGGACAUGUGUUCCCUCCUCAUCUGAUUGGAAUAUUAAUUGUGACGAAUGCAGCCGAGAUCUUUUUUUCUUACCACCAGCCAUCCUACGAUUCUGGCCGACAAGUGCACGCCAGUUGGGCCAACUGAAUCGAGCUGAAGAGGCCCACUGAUGUCAUUUUACUUAACAUUAAUUUCAAAUAAUAUCAUAAUUUAUCGUUACAACGCAGGCAUUGCUGCUUGGCGACUCCCGAUGUUCGAUUCUCAUUUCAGACACGUACCGUGGAAUCGAUCUCAAUUUCGUAGUUCAGAUAUCACGCGCACACAGAGGCCGAAAAUGCGGCCACGUUCUCGUCCCUGCCCAUCAAAGGGCAGGCAGGCAGGCAAGGCGGUGGCAGUCAGGCCCUUUUCCACUUGGCCAGAUUGGAUGGCCAAUAUAUACGCGAAGCGACGGCGGCGGCCCUUUUCAAGAUGCCACGAUCACGUUGACAUUUUCGCCUGGACGCGGCAGUUGUUGCCCCACUAGAUAUACCCGCGCCGAUUCCCCAGAUCGCUGUCUCCAUUUCCAUUUCGAUUCAAGAUCCCCAUCCCGAACCCCACGAUUGUUGACAUGUCGCCGCCUGUGAUUGAUUUAGGGCCGUUUUUUUCCUUUUCCGCCGAAGCGCAGCCGUUUGAACCCAUUGUUUUUGGCCCAAAAACAAAGAAAAUCUGACCAAAAACAAAAAAAAAUAAAAUCAAAAGGGCGUAUGACGAUGCCAAACCGACGACGUGAGCUGCCGUCUUUGAGAACUGGUUGAUGGUGGUGUAUGGUAACUUGGUUUCAACUUUUUGGGAUACCCCUCUCAUGUUAAUUGAUAGCACGGAUUAGUUGGAUCGAUAUGUGCAAUGCUUUUGAUAUGACUUCCAGGAAAUUUUCGUUCGCAGCUCAUUUGAAUUAUGAGAAACGAGAAUAGAUUUCCCAGGGAUAUUUUAUGCAUUUUGGUGACCAUUUAUUUGGCUUUUCCUUUCGAUUGCUCCUCCGAUCGCGUUCACUAUCUAUCACCUGUAAGUGCAAGACGCGAAGCUCAGGUGAAAUUUAUCAGCCACAAAGGUAGGAGUUCCUCCUGCAAGUUCCUCCUCCUCCUCCACUUGCAGCCUGCGAUUCUCGAGCUGGGGAGGCUGCCCUGGGGGCGCUCGCUGGCUCACUGGCUCACUGGACUCCUUGCUUCCUUGGAUGUAUUAAAUUAAUAUUUGCUUUUUGUCAAAAGGCUAUAAUCAAGCACGCUGGCGAUGACAGGCUAAGAGGCUCUAAUUACAGCUUGUUACCCUGAUGCAGCGGCCACACAGGUCGUGGCUCACUUCGCUUUCGCCUUCGCCUUGGAAUGGAGUGGAGUGGAUCUGGAACUGGACUGGGACUGGGACGGGGACUGGGACUCAUACUUCCACCGGUGCCUCGUCUUCCGUUUAUGCUAAGUGGCAAGCGCCGUGGUCGCCCUCAUCCCUAUGUCCAUCCUCAUGCUACUCCGACCUUCACGCAGUCCAGCUUCGCGUGAUCCUCGCUGCAGAAGCACAAUUAUGCAC
ensembl:ncRNA lncRNA:CR44498 long non-coding RNA:CR44498